UGUAGGCUUCCUGGAGCGGCGCUGAGGGCCCCUUGGAGCGCUGGGUCUUAUUUCCAAACGUGUGGGGGUGGUGUAUACGGCCAGUCCUUUAUUCCAACCCUCUGGAUGUAUUCCUGCUUUAAUACGUAAUCUGGAGCGGUAAAGCCGGUCCCCGUCAGUACACAGAACAGCGCUGUGUCUCAGGGCCUUCAGGCCAUCAUUCCUGGACACCUGCUCGUCCUUGGACAGAGAUAAGUUUGGAAGGAUGGAGGGAAGUAUCUCUUGCAUCCCUCUUGAUCCAGGAGAGUUGAGACAGUUUGGCCUCAUGUGGAAGCCCUGGCUUCUCUGAUCCGUGGUAAGUCUGUUGUUCUUUUGCUAAGAGCUUCUUGACAAAACAGAAUAGCCUUUCAAUACACUUUUUAGUCUACAAUACAAAAGCUGCAGCCUUUGUACCUGUUAAUCACUU
rnacentral:lncRNA from 1 species